rnacentral:rRNA from 1 species
UACGUAGGGUGCAGGCGUUAAUCGGAAUUACUGGGCGUAAAGCGUGCGCAGGCGGUUUGCUAAGACAGGUGUGAAAUCCCCGGGCUUAACCUGGGAACUGCGCUUGUAACUGGCAAGCUGGAGUGUGGCAGAGGGGGGUGGAAUUCCUGGUGUAGCAGUGAAAUGCGUAGAUAUCAGGAGGAACACCGAUGGCGAAGGCAGGUCUCUGGGCUGACACUGACGCUCAUGCACGAAAGCGUGGGGAGCAAACAGG